UACGUAGGGUGCGAGCGUUAAUCGGAAUUACUGGGCGUAAAGCGUGCGCAGGCGGUAAGUUAAGUCUGAUGUGAAAGCCCCGGGCUCAACCUGGGAAUGGCAUUGGAAACUGGCUUGCUGGAGUGUGGCAGAGGGGGGUGGAAUUCCAGGUGUAGCGGUGAAAUGCGUAGAUAUCUGGAGGAAUACCGGUGGCGAAGGCGGCAUCCUGGACCGACAUUGACGCUGAGGAGCGAAAGCUAGGGGAGCAAACGGG
rnacentral:rRNA from 1 species